rnacentral:rRNA from 1 species
UACGGAGGGUGCAAGCGUUAUCCGGAUUCACUGGGUUUAAAGGGUGCGUAGGUCGGGCAGGUAAGUCAGUGGUGAAAUCUCCGAGCUUAACUCGGAAACUGCCUUGAUACUAUUGUCUUGAAUAUUGUGGAGGUGAAGCGGAAUAUGUCAUGUAGCGGUGAAAUGCUUAGAUAUGACAUAGAACACCAAUUGCGAAGGCAGCUACGCUACACAACUGAUUAUCGCUGGAGGCACGAAAGCGUGGGGAUCAAACAGGAUUA